ensembl:lncRNA
AUAGGUGCUAAUCCAAUCAGUCUUAAAAAGCCAAAUGGCAAGAAAGAGCAUAAUGACAAAAGGUCGUUAUCUCAGACACCUGGGCUUCCUGAUUUGAUCCUUUUUUACCUCAAAAUGUAAAACACAAUGUACAUAACUUUUUUAGUUUAUAUACUAUUACAUUCCUGGUUUCCUGUGGCUCAGUGGUAGAGCAUUGUGUUAGCAGUGCAAAUGUUGUGGGUUCGAUUCUCAGGGAACACGUUAGGUAAAAAAUGUUAGCCUGAAUGCACUGUAAGUCGCUUUGGAUAAAAGCAUCUUGCGCCACCUGGCGGUAGUUUCGCGAAUUAUUUUAACACGCAACUGACUUGCAGUUAACGCCAUGGCGGUAAUACCCAUUUUGGUUGUCAACCUACUGUAUGUGGACAGCCUGUUGAAGGUGGCGUCUUCAAAGAAAGCUAAAAGAGGAGUGCCAAGGUCUUGCUAAAGACCUAGGAUAUUUGACCAAGGAAAUACCCUUCAAAAUCAUAGGCCAGCAGCUGGCCGAGCGAGGCUGCAGAAGAGAGGAUCAUGACUUGAGUGCUGAACUCGACAUAAUCAAACAAGUGUUGGGUGACAACAUGGACAUGUAUUCAAAGGUCACACACACACUUGGACCCCAAGUAUGCCAGUUUGUGUUUCAGAUCAUCAGAGAGUGCCUUGUUGCAAAAGGAAGGGCUCUAGAAAAUUGAAUUUUGACACU